UGGCGCAUACAAAGAGAAGCGACCUCGCGAGAGCAAGCGGACCUCAUAAAGUGCGUCGUAGUCCGGAUUGGAGUCUGCAACUCGACUCCAUGAAGUCGGAAUCGCUAGUAAUCGUGGAUCAGAAUGCCACGGUGAAUACGUUCCCGGGCCUUGUACACACCGCCCGUCACACCAUGGGAGUGGGUUGCAAAAGAAGUAGGUAGCUUAACCUUCGGGAGGGCGCUUACCACUUUGUGAUUCAUGACUGGGGUGAAGUCGUAACAAGGUAACCGUAGGGGAACCUGCGGUUGGAUCACCUCCUUACCUUAAAGAAGC
rnacentral:rRNA from 3 species